AUGCUGGAGGUAUCAGAAGUGCGAAUGCUGACAUAAGUAACGAUAAAGCGGGUGAAAAGCCCGCUCGCCGGAAGACCAAGGGUUCCUGUCCAACGUUAAUCGGGGCAGGGUGAGUCGACCCCUAAGGCGAGGCCGAAAGGCGUAGUCGAUGGGAAACAGGUUAAUAUUCCUGUACUUGGUGUUACUGCGAAGGGGGGACGGAGAAGGCUAUGUUAGCCGGGCGACGGUUGUCCCGGUUUAAGCAUGUAGGCUGGUUAUCCAGGCAAAUCCGGAUAACCAAGGCUGAGGUGUGAUGACGAGGCACUACGGUGCUGAAGUAACAAAUGCCCUGCUUCCAGGAAAAGCCUCUAAGCAUCAGGUAACAUCAAAUCGUACCCCAAACCGACACAGGUGGUCAGGUAGAGAAUACCAAGGCGCUUGAGAGAACUCGGGUGAAGGAACUAGGCAAAAUGGUGCCGUAACUUCGGGAGAAGGCACGCUGGUGUGUAGGUGAAGUCCCUGCGGAUGGAGCUGA
rnacentral:rRNA from 1 species